CCCUCCCCUCCCCCCCACCUCCUCCCCCUCCCCUCCCCCCCCACCUCCUCCCCUCCCCUCCCCCCACCUCCUCCCCCCUCCCCCGUCCCCUCCCCCCCCCCCUCCCCCCGCCGCCGCCUUUGCUCUUCUGCAAUUUGGCCAGGGACAGUGCUCCAAGCCUGCUGGGUGUGAACAUGGUGGCAGUCCUGGCAAGAACCAGAAUGGAUCACAGAUGAUCGUUGGCCAGCAGGUGGCAGAAGAGGAAUCCCUGCCUUCCUCAAGAGGAACACCUACCCCGUGGCUACUGCUGGGGUCGGAUUUUGAUUUUUAUUUAUUUCUUGGAUUACAGUCCUAUGUAGUUUGAUUAUGUGGUCUGCUAGCAUUAGUUUUAGGCUUUAAGUUACUAUUCUGGAAAUGUAGUUAGGGGCUUUGCUUAUUUGUAGAAUUCAAUUACAUUUAAUGAGUUUUUAUUUUUGAGUUCCUUAAAAUAAGUAAAAAUUUUCAAUUUGUUUUACUAAUUCCUUAAGUUUUUUUGGCUUUAGAUAUUCAAAUUCAAAUUACUAUUUAAAAAAUUUUUACUACUUUUUUACUCUGAAAUUGACUUAAUAAACUACAUCUUUUUGGAUUUUGUAAGAGUCUUAUAGUACAGAAGUAGUUAAUUAAAAUUUUAACUUUAUGACCAAAUGUAAUAAGGAAUAUUUGAAGGUCCACUCCAGUCCAGGCCUUGCUUUGUUCCCAUCCUUAAUGCUGCACGAAUUGAGUAAAAACUAUCAUGCAGGAAACUAGACUUACUGUGGACUUGUUUCCUCUAGAAAAACGUUAUAUUUGAGUGUCAAUGCCCAUAAUUUCAAUUUUCUGUGGUGCCUUGCCUCCAUAGUUCCCAUUUCCUCCCCAGCCCUGCUCCCAGCAACCGCCCCCCAAUCUAGCACCAGCCCUUCCCCUGCCCUGUGUCCAGCCCUGCCCCUGCCCUGUCUCCAGCCCUGCCCCAGCCCUAGCUCCAGCUGCCCAGCCCUAUCACCAGCCCUAUCCCUAGCCCCAGCCCGAGUCCCAGCCCCAGCCCCAGCCCCAGCCCCAGCCCCAGCCCCAGCCCCAGCCAUCACCCUAACCCUGCUUCUCCCUAAAGUCACUCCAAUCUGCAUUGAUUUGGUGCUAAAAGUUGUCCAUUGCUCAUCCAUAAGACUGGAAUAACCCUGUGUGCCUCUAGCAUUUGCUGACUUUCCGAGUUGACUACCUGAGUUAUCAUUUUCAAUUAAUGUACACAGUCCCAUUUGUCCACUGUCCCACGUUAGAACAAUCAAUCUAUUCACCUUUGUGUCAAUGUUAGAAAUGUUAAUUGAGUUUAAUAUCAGAUAACUAUUGUUCAUAUUUUUAGUUACUCAUCAUCUCUAUUCCCUGCCCUUAAGGAAGGAGAAACCAUUCUUCUGUCAUUGCUGCAGUAGUCACAGUCCCCGUUUUCUGGGCAGUGCUCAUAAUAUUGUGCUGGUCACCUGAACUCUACCCUGAGUGAAAUUUUAAUUGUCCUGCCCAUUGGAUUAGAUCCCAGUCCUUUUGCUGAAUUCAGGACUGGGUGCAGAAAACACGAAUCUUUUGUUCAAUAGUUAACAUGCUCAGUCCCAAAUUGUAUUAGCCUUGUCCAUUAAACAAAGGCACCCUACCAUUUUUGUCCUGCUUCUGGGAUGGCCUGCUGUUCUUUGACAAUUAAAGUACCAAACUGUAAUUGUACGUUGUCUUGCCCAGUAAUCAAUGACCCUUCAUCCCCUUUGCAUUGCCACUAGGCAGUGCUGAGUACCUGGGACCACGUUCCUUGAAUGAUUGAUGAGUAUAAUCCCAAUUGUCCACACCCCUGUUCAUUACACAAGUCCUUUGCAACUCCUUUGCACUAUAGCAGAUGGGCUCAUCUUCAAAGUCCUUUACUUUGGGAUAUUAAUGAAUACAAUCAUUAAUAUUCAAGAUCCUGCCUAAAAGGUAAGACCCACCCAUGCUCUCUUUUUACUCCUAGGUAGUGCAGACUACUUACUACCCUGCAUUAAUAUGUAAAAUCCUCAUUGCCCACUGUCCCAACGGUUAGUCUAGGAUAUAACUUUAUCUUUAUGCCAUUGCUUAUGAGGGGUUCUGAUUACCCAAGGUCACUUAAACAGUUGAUGUGCAUAAUUGCAUAUGUCCAUGGUGCUGCGCAAUAAAAAAUGGAAUCCCACCCCGUCCUAACCACUUUGGGAUAUUGCUAGUGAGUGCAGAUUAUUCAGGAACUCAGUUGUUGGACAGUUAAUUUGCACAGUUGGAGUUGUGCAGAGUCCUGUCCAUUUGAAAGAGCCACUGUAUUCCAUUUGCAUACUAUAAUGUGGGCUGAUCACUCAAAGACACUUCUCUUGAAUUGAUAAUUUUCAUAAUUGCAUUGGCACAUGUUCUGUGAACUAGCCACACCCACUCCCUUUGUAUUCUAGCAGGGGACCCUUACUACUCAAGAACAAUACACUAGGAUAUUUUAUGUGUACAAUAUUAAUUGGCUAGACUGAGCCUUUUGUAUCAGGAACCCUGCACCAUCUCUAUAUCUAAAAAGUGCUAAUUAUCUAAGGCUCUUCUCCUAAAACUGUUCAUGUGCAAAAUUGCAAUCCCCAAUGUCUCCUACUGUUAACCUAAAAUCCUAUUUCCACCUAACUCCCUUUGCAUUAUUGCAGAAGGCACUUGGGUCCUUUAAGGUGCUUAAGGCAGUUAUGGUCCCUUCUGUUAGUCUGGGAUCCCAUCCCCUCCUACUUCCUUUGCAUUACUGCAGAGAAUACUUGGAAACGUUAAUGUGCUUAACUGCAGCGAUAAUUCCUUCCAUUAGUCUAGGAUCCUAUACCCUCCUACUCAUUUUGCAUUAGCACAGAUUGUACAUGGGACUGUUAAUGUGUUCACAUGCAGCUCUGUCCCUUAUGUUAGUGUGUAUGAUUCUAUCCUCUUUAACUCCCUGUGCAUUACAGCAGAGGGUAGUUGGGAUCUUUAAGGCCCUCAAAGGCAGCUAUGGUGCCUUCUGUUAGUCUAAGAUCCCACCCCCUCCUACUUCCUUUGCAUUUCUGCAGAGGAUAUUUGGGACUGCAAUGUGCUUAAUUGCUGCCAGAGUCCUCUCUGUUUGUCUAGGAUCCCAAUCUCCUCCCUCUUACUGAGUUUGCAUUACACAGAGUACAAGGGACUGUUAAUGUGCCUAAGUGGCAGCUAUGGUCUCUUCUAUUAACCUAGGUUCCCAUCCCAAUCUAAAUUCUUUUGCAUUACUGCAGAGGGUACUUGAGACUGUUAAUGUGUGUAAUUGUAGUUACAGUCCCUUCUGUUAGAUCCUGUCCUCACCUACUCUCUUUGCAUUAUCAUGAAGGGUACAAUGGGACUGUUAAUGAGCUUAAUUGCAGCUAUAGUUCCUUCUGUUAAUCUAGUUUCCCACUUAUUCCUGCUUUGCAUUAUAGCAAAGGGUACUUGAGACCUUUAAGGUGCUUAAAUGUAGCUAUGACCCCUUCUGUUUAUGUUCCCAUCCCCUCCUACUUUGCAUUACUGCAGAGGAUACUUGGGACUCUAAAUGUGCCCAAUUACUACUUUCCCUUUUCUUUUUCUUUGUCCCAUCCCCUCCCACAGUUUGUAUUAUCAUAGAAGGUACAAGGGACCAUUAAUGUGCUUAGAGGCAGCUAUGGUUUCCCCUGUUAACCUGGGAUCCUGUCCCCACCUAACUUCCUUUUGCAUUAUUGCAAAGGAUACUUUGGACUAUUAAUGUGCUCUAAGGAAGCUGUGUGGUUCCUUAUAUUACUGUAGGAUUCCAUUGUCUCCAACUCCUAUGCAUUACAGCACAGGGUACUUGGACCCUUUAAGAUGCUUAAAUGCAGCUAUAGCCUCUUCUGUUAGUUUUAUACUCCCAUCCCCUCCUAUUUCCUUUGCAUUACUGCAGCAGCUACUUGGGACUGUUAAUGUGCUUCAUUGCAGCUACAAUCUCUUCUAUUAGUCUAGGGUCUCAUCCCUUCUAGUUGCUUUGCAUUAGCACACAAUAUACAUGGGACUGUUAAUUUGCUUAAAUGCAGCUCUGUCCCUUAUGUUAAUGUAGCAUUCCAUCCAACUCCCUAUGCAUUAGAACAGAGGGAACUUGGCACCUUUAAGGUGCUUAAAUGUAGCUGUGGUGCCCCCUGUUAGUCUAGGAUCUCAUACCCCUUCUACUCCCUUUACAUUAAUGGCAGGACAUUUGGGACUGUUAAUGUGCUUAAUUGCAGUUACAAUCCCUUCUAUUAAUCUAGUUAUCCUAUGCCUUCUCACUUCCUCUGCAUUAGAGCAGAUGGAGGAUUUGGGACUGUUAAUGAGCUUAAUGCAGCUAUAGUCCCUUCUGUUAAUCUAGUUUCCCAUGUAGUUUCCCUACUUCCUUUGCAUUACAGCAGAGGGUACUUCAGACCUUUAAGGUGCUUAAUUGCAGUCAUGGUCCUGUCUGUUUAGGAUCUCAUAUCUUUCAACUCCCUUUGUAUUAUCUUUGGGACUGUUAAAGUGCUUAGUUGCAGCUGUGGUCCCUUUUCUUAGUCUAGGGUCCUAUCCCUUGCUACUCACUGCAUUACCUGGGAGUGGAUUUGGGACUAGUAAUGUGCUCAUUUGCAAUUGUGGUCCCUUUGGUUAGUCUGGGUUCCCAUGUCCUCCAACUCCUGCAUACAGCAGAGGCUACUUGGGACUCUUAAUAUGUUUAAUUUUUGCUGUGGUCCCUUUCAGUACUCUAGGAUUCCACACCCUUCUAUUCACUUUGCAUUAGCACACAGUGUAUAUGGGACUGUUAAUGUGCUUAAAGGUAGUUCUGUCCCUUAUGUUAAUGUAGGAUUCCAUCCUUUCCAACUCUCUAUGCAUUAGAGCAGAGGGUACUUGGCACCUUUAAGAUGCUUAUACAUAGCUGUGGUCCCCCCAGUUAGUCUAGGAUCCCAUCCCCCUUCUACUCCCUUUACAUUACAUGGCAGGGCAUUUGGGACUAUUACUGUGCAUAAUUGCACUUACAAUCCCUUCUGUUAGUCUAAGAUCCUAUGCUUUCCCAUUUCCUUUGCAUUAGAGCAGAUGGUAUUUGGGACUGUUAAUGAGUUUAAUUGCAGCUAUAGUCUCUUCUGUUAAUCCCAUGCACUCCUACUUUUGUGUUAUAGCAGAGAAUACUUGAGACCUUUAAGGUGCUUAAGAGCAGGUAUGGCCCCUUCUGUUAGUUUAUGUUCCCAUCUCCUCCUACUUCCUUUGCAUUACUGCUGAGGCUACCUGGGACUGUUAAUGUGCCUAACUGCCACUAUAGUCCCUUCUGUUUGUCUAGAUUCUCAUCCUCUUCUGCAUGGAUUACAUUACCACAGAGGAUACAAGGGACUGUUAUGGUGCUUAAAUGCAGCUACUGUCUUUUCUGUUAACUCAGGUUCCCAUCCCCACCUAAUUCCCUUUGCAUUAUUGCAGAGGGUACUUGAGACACUAAUGAACUUAUUGUAGCAUUGGUCCCUUCUGUUAGACUGGGAACCCACCCUCACAAACUCCCUUUACAUUUUAACGGAGAAUACACGGGACUGUUAAUGUGCUUAAAUGCACCCACAGACCCUUAUGUUAAUGCAGGAUUCCAUCCUUGACAAACCCUCUAUGUACUACAGCAGAGAGUAGUUUCUACCUUCAAGGUGCUUAAAUGUGGCUAUGGCCCCUUCUGUUAGUUUAUGUUCCUGUCCUCUCCUACUUGCUUUGCAUUACUGCAGAGGAUACUUGGGAUGUUAGUGUGCCUAAUUGCUGCUACAAUCCCUUUUGUUAAUCUAGGAUCCUGUCCCAUUCCACACUGUUUGCAUUACCACAGAGGGUACAAGGGAUUGUUAAUGUGCUUAAAUGCAACUAAGAUCUUUCCUGUUAAUCUAGGACCCGAUCCCCACCUAACUCUGCAUUAUUGCAGAGGCUACUUGGGACUGUUAAUGUGCUCUAAUGCAGCUGUGGUUCCUUUUGUUAGAUGAGGAUCCCAUCCCUACCUGCUCCCUUUGCAUUAUCAUGGAGAGUACCUGGGACUGUUAAUGUGCUUAAAUGAAGCCACGGUCCCUUAAGUUAGUGUAGGAUUUCAUCCUCUCCAACUCCCUGUGCAUUACAACAGAAGGUACUUGAGACUUUUAAGGUGCUUUUAAGCUAUGGUGCUUUCUGUUAGUCUGGGAUCCCAUUGCUACCUAACUCUCUUUCAAUUACUGCAGAAGGUACUGGAAAUCUUUAAGAAGCUUAAAUGCAGUUACAACCCCUCUGUUAGUGUUCCCAGCCCCUCCUACUUACACUUUGCAUUAUUGCAGAGGAUACUUGGGACUGUUAAUAUGCCUAAUUGCCACUACAGUCCCAUCUGUUUGUCUAUAAUCCUAGCCCCUCCUAAACGUUUGCAUUUCUACAGGAGGAACAAGGGACAAUUAAGUGCUUAAAUGCAGCUAUGGUGUCUUCUGUUAGUCUAGGAUCCUAUCCUCUACCUACUUACAGAAGGUACAAGGUACUGAUAAUGUGCUUAAGUGCUGCUAUAAUCCCUUCUGUUUGUCUAGGAUCCUGUCCCCUCCUACAGGGUUUGCAAUACCACAAAAAGUACAAGGGGACUGUUUAUGCUUAAAGGCAGCUCUUCUUUCACCUAGGAUUCCAUCCCCACCUAAUGCAUUUGCAUAGUUGCAGAGGGUACUUGGGACUGUUAAUGUGCUUAAAUACAGCUGUGAUCCCUUAUGUUAAUGUAGGAUUCUAUCCUCUCCAACUCCCUAUGCUUAAUAGCAGAUGGGACCUUCAAAGUGCUUAAGUAUACUUACAGUGCCUUCUGUUAGUCUGGGAUCCCAUCCCUACCUAACUCCCUUUGCAUUACAGCAGAGAGUACUUGAGAUCUUUAAGAUGCUUAAAUGUAGCUAUGCCCCCUUCUGUUAGUUUAUGUUCCCAUCCCUUCCUACUUUGUAUUACUACAGAGUACACUUGGGACUGUAAAUGUGCCCAAUUACUGCUAUAGUCCCUUCUGUUUGUCUAGGAUCCCAUCCCCUCCUACAGAGUUUACAUUAUCACAGAGUGUACAAGGGAUUGUUAAUAUGCUUAAUUGUAGUUAUAGUCCCUUCUGUUAGACUAGGAUUGCAUCUCCACCUACUCCACUGCAUUAUCAUGGAGGGUACAUGGUACUGUUAGUGUGCUUGAAUGCAGCUACAGCCCAUAUGUUAGCAUAGGGAUUUCAUCCUCUCCAACUUCCUAUGCAUUAUAACAUAGGGCAUUUGGGACCUUAAAGGUGCUAAAAUGCAGCUAUGGCCCCUUCUAUUAGUUUAUGUUCCCAUUCUCUCCUACUUCCUUUGCAUUACUGCAAAGGAUACUUGGGACUCUUAAUGUAGGUAAUUGGUACUACAGUCCCUUCUGUUAAUCUAAGAUCCCAUUCCCUCCUACUUGCUUUGCAUUACCACAGAGGGUACAAGGGACUGUAAAUAUGCUUCACUGCAGCUCCUGUCCUUUAUAUUAGUAUAGUAUUCCAUCCUCUCCAAUUCCCUAUGCAUUACAGCAGAGGGUAGUUGGUAUCUUUAAGGUCCUUAAAGGCAGCUAUGGUGCCUUCUAGUAGUGUAGGAUCCUAUCCCCUCCUACUGACUUUGCAUUACUGCAGAGGAUACUUGGGACUGUUAAUGUGCUUCAUUGCCACCAGAGUCCCUUUAAUUUGUCUAGGAUGCCAUCCCCUUGUAUUUGCUUUGCAUUAGCACACAAUGUACAUGGGACUGUUAAUUUGCUUAAAUGCAGCUCUGUCCCUUAUGUUAAUGUAGCAUUCCAUCCAACUCCCUAUGCAUUAGAACAGAGGGAACUUGGCACCUUUAAGGUGCUUAAAUGUAGCUGUGGUGCCCCCUGUUAGUCUAGGAUCCCAUUCCCCUUCUACUCCCUUUACAUUAAUGGCAGGACAUUUGGGACUGUUAAUGUGCUUAAUUGCAGUUACAAUCCCUUCUAUUAAUCUAGUUAUCUUAUGCCUUCUCACUUCCUCUGCAUUAGAGCAGAUGGAGGAUUUGGGACUGUUAAUGAGCUUAAUGCAGCUAUAGUCCCUUCUGUUAAUCUAGUUUCCCAUGUACUCCUACUUCCUUUGCAUUACAGCAGAGGGUACUUCAGACCUUUAAGGUGCUUAAUUGCAGUCAUGGUCCUGUCUGUUAGUUUAGGAUCUCAUAUCUUUCAACUCCCUUUGUAUUAUCUUUGGGACUGUUAAAGUGCUUAGUUGCAGCUGUGGUCCCUUUUCUUAGUCUAGGGUCCUAUCCCUUGCUACUCACUGCAUUACCUGGGAGUGGAUUUGGGACUAGUAAUGUGCUCAUUUGCAAUUGUGGUCCCUUUGGUUAGUCUGGGUUCCCAUGUCCUCCAACUCCUUCUGCAUACAGCAGAGGCUACUUGGGACUCUUAAUAUGUUUAAUUUUAGCUGUGGUCCCAGUAGUUUAGGAUCCUUUGUAUUACUUUUGUAUUAUCAGAUGGUACUUGGGACUAAAAAAUGCUUAAUUGCAUCUCUGGUCCCUUCUGUUAUAGGAUCCCAAUGUUGUCCAACUCCCUGUGCAUUACAGCAGAGGUCAUUGGGGCUGUUAGUGGGUUUAACUGUAGCUGUGGUCCCUUCUGUUAGUCUAGUAUCCCAAGCCCUCCAACUGCCUUUGUGUUACUUGGGAGUGUAUUUGGGACUCUAAGUUGCUUAACUGCAGCUGUUGUCUCUUCUGUUAGUAGUUUCCCAUGCCCUCCUAUUAUCUUUACAUUAUAACAGAGGGUCCUUGGGAUUGUUAAAGUGCUUAAUUGCUGCUGUGGUCCCUUCUGUAAUUCCGGGGUCCCAUCCCCUCCUACUCUGUUUACCUGAGAGGAUUUUUGGGACUGUUAAAAGAGACCACAUAAUUAAAUUAGUAUAGUUUCCCAUGCCCUCCUAUUCUCUUUGCAUUACAACAGAUGGUACUUGGGAUUGUUAAAGUGCUUAACUGCAGGUGGGGUCCCCUCUGUUAGUCUAGGAUCUCUUGUCCUUCCCCCUUUACAUUACCGGGAGCAGAUUUGGGAAUGUUAACAUGCUUAUUAAUUACAGUUGUUGUCCCUUCUGUUAAUCUAGUUUCCAGUCCCUUCCAACUGGUUUCCCAUUACCUGGUAACAGAUUUGGGACAAUUAAUAGGCUCAUGUGCAGCUGUGGUCCCUUCUGUUAGUCUAGCAUUCCAUGCCCUCUAACUCCCUUUCCAUUAUAGCAGAGGAUAUUUGGGACUUUUAAUGGCUUAAUUGCAGCCCUGGUCCCUUCUGUUAGUCUAGGAUCCCAUGUUCUCCAACUCACUUUGCAUUACCUGAGAAUGUAUUUGGGACUGUUUAAAUGCUCUAUUGGAGUUGUGGUCCCUUUUGUGUGUCUAGUUUCCCAUGCCCUCCUACUCUUUUGCAUUAUAGCCUUGGAUACUUGGGGCUGUUAAAGUACUUAAUUCCUGGUGUAGUCACUUUUGUUGAUUUAGGAUCCCAUCCCCUUCUACUCCCUUUACAUUAUCUGGGAGGAUUUGGGGGACUUUUAAAGUACUCAUUUGCAGCUGCGGGUCCCCUUUGUUAGUCUAGGAUCCGAUGUCCUCCAACUCCCGUUGCAUUAUAGCAGAUAGUGCUUGGGACUGUAAAUGUGCAUUACAUACAGGUGUGGUCCAUUUUGCUGGUCAUGACCACCUCUUCCCUUUAUAUUACCUGGGAUCAGAUUUGGUACUGAAAGGUGCUUAAUUGCAGCCUGUGUUCCCUUCUGAUUAGGAUCCCACACCUCCAUCUCUAUUUGCAUUACAGCAGGGCGUACUUGGGCCUGUCACAUGCUCUGUUGCAGCUGUGGUACCUUCUGUUUUGUAGGAUCCUAUGCCCAUCAUCUCCUUUUUACAUUAUCUGGGAGUGUAUUUGGAACUUAUAAAGUACUUAAUUUUAGCUGUGGUUCCUUCUGUUCAUAUACUUUUCCAUGCCCUCCUACUGUCUUUGCAUUAUAGCAGAGGGUACUUGGAACUGUUAAAGUGCUUCAUUGCAGCUGUGUCACUUUUGUAGUUUAGCAUCCCAUGACUUCCCAGCCCCUUUACAUUACCUAGAAAGGCAUCUGGGACUGUUAAGGUGCUAACUGCAGCUGUGGUCCCUUCUGUUAGUCUAGGAUCCCAUUCUCUUCUACUCCCUUUGCAAUACUUGGGGAAGGUUUUUUGGGACCAUUAAAGGGCGCUGUUGCAGGUGUGGUCCUUUCUCCUGCUCUGAGAUCCAUGCCCUUCAAACUUUGGGUUACUGCUGAGGGCACUUGGUACUAUGAAUGUGCUCAAAUGCAGAUUUGGUCCCUUUUCUUAGUCUCAGAUCUCAUGCCUUCCAACUCCUUGUACAUUAUCAGAGAGGGUGCUUGGGACAGUUUUUAUGCUCAGUUACAACAGUGGUCCCCUUUUUAGUCUAUGAUUUCAUCCCUUGCCCCUCGCCCCGCAACUCCCUUUGCAUUACCACAGAAGGUACUGGAGACUGUUCAGGUGUAUCUCAUUCUCUGACCCCCUGUUAGCAUUAUAGUAAGGGGUGCUGAAUACCAAAACCCCCCUUUUUUUUUGCAUUGUUAAUGUGCAUAAUUGCAUUUGUUCAUCUUUCUCUGCAGUAGAUAAGAUUUCACUAACUUCCCUUGUAUUCAGCAGUGAAUGCCCUUUAUUCAAGACCUUUGUACUACAAUAAAGUGAACCAUGGUAAUUGACCACACUGUCAUUCAUUUAAGUCCCCUGUACUCUCUGUAUUAAUUACGUUAGUUAUUUUUGGGGGGGAUUAUUUGUAGCAAAAUUCCAGUGUUUAUGGUCCUUCACUUUUAACUAAUUUCCCACCCUUUUUGUAUUGCAUCAGGGGAUGUUAGUAUCUCAAAGUAUUUCUCUUAGGACUCUAAAUGUGCAUAUACCCUCUUGAUAAGCUAAUAUCUUUAUUUCUUAGUAUUAUAGCAGGGGGUACUAACCACCUAAGGUCCUUCUUUUGGACAGUUAAUGUGCCAGAUUGCACAUCCCCCAAUUGGGGAUCCCAUCCCCAUCACACCUUCUCUGUGUCAGGCGUGCUGACCAACUGUAACUGCUUCUCCUUUAUAGUUUAAAUGUGCAUAAUUACAGUAACCAAUGGUCCCUUAUGUUAGAAUGGGAUCUCAUUUCCUUGCCCAAUUUACAUUACUGUGGGGGCUUCUGACUAGCCAAGAGUCACUCUCUUGGACUGUUAAUGUGCAUACUUAAAUUCACUCUUAUACCUAGAUAAGGAUUCUCCCCAUACUAUUUAUAUUCCAGCAAGAGGUGCCUACUACUUAAGAUUUUACACACUAAUGCAGUUAAUGUGCACAGCCUUUGUUGUCUUGUGCAUACUCAGUUGUCCACAACUGUACCUUUUAGUUCAAGACUCCUGCAAUUACUGAAGCAGAAGUGACUGACCACCUUAAAGCCUUUCUCUUGGGACUCUGGAUGUGUGUAAGAGACAUAUAGGUAAGAUUGUAUUUCAGUUGUCCCUUUUCUUUAGGAGCUAUAGGCUGAUGAGCAAAGGCAAGCAUCAGGCUGUUGUGGGAAAAAAGGUGCUAGGCUAUCUAGAGAAAAUGUGAAGAGAUGUUCCAGGCCAGUGAGAAGAAUUAGACAAGAAAUACCCAGAUGUGCCAGACUGUUGAAGCACCAGCCAGAAACACCUUACUUCUUUGAGCUUGGGUGAGCAGGAUUCCUGGGGUUUGGGAUUCCUAGUGAUGGUUAAAAAAACAGAUGAUUGGUCCUGGGACAGAGUGAGGCCCCAAGGAGGCAGUUUGAACUCCCUGCUCAUAGUAGUGGCCUAAUAAUUUGGUAGACUGUGCCAGUACUGCUCCUGAGUUUAAUACCCACCUCAAGGUUUAAAGGUGAGAGAACUUGGGAAUAUUUACUUAGCAGGUUUAAUCCUUUCCUUGAUUCCCCCCCAUGAGAGAAAAAAAUUUAAACAAUUGAGAAUAUAUGUGAAAGCAUUGUAAAGCAGAGAAAAAAGUGCAAGGCAUUCUCAUUAAUAGUAUAUCAGCAGCCAUGCACAGCUGACAUUUAAAGUGUACUGUCAGUUGUGAAGCAUUAUGUAAAUCAGGGGUCAUCACACCCUUUCUGUAAAGGGUCAGAUGGUAAAUAUUUUAGGUUUUGUGAGCCAUAUGGUCUCUGACACAUUUUUUAAAAUUAACCCUUUACAAAGAAAAACUACUGUUAGCAUGUGAACCAAGUAUAUUUGGUCUGUGGGCCAUACUAUCAUCCCUGAUGUACAUACCAGGGACUGUGUGCUGAAUAAUACUUGUGUGUGCCUGUCCCUGAGCUAGACACUUAAGGAUGCAAUAAUUAUUUACUAUUACAUCCAGGUGACCUGAAGAAAAAUAUGUGAAUGUGCUUUGUAAACUGUAAAGCACUUAAAGAUUUAUGAGUUUCAGAGUUGAUGAAUGAAUAUUGACUACACAGUAUGUACAUUCUGUACAUUCUACUAGACACUGUGAAUACAAAGAUUAAAAGAAGCCUGAAUAAAGUACUUUGUCAGAAGUAUGUAAUACUAUGAAAAUAUUAGGAAUUGUUUGAUAAAUGAAUAAUUCAUAUAUUUGUGGCCAUCAUGUUUCCGCUGCUCUGGUAAUUUUAAGUAAAAGUACAGUAUUCCAGGUAGCAGAAAAGCAAACACAUGGAAGCUGCUUUUAAAGCAUAAAAUAUACUGCAAACACAAGGGAUUAAGCUAUUGUGAAAACUUAUAACAUGUCACAUACCAUGCUAAGUGCUACAGAUGUCAAAGGGAAAACAGUGUCCUCAGUAGGGAAUUAAAAAUGUCAGAUUAUGAAGUGCAUAUUAAAGUACUUUGUAAACUAAAGCACUGUAUAGAUACCAGUGUGUUACAUGUUUAUGAAUAUUAUUUGCCUUUUAUGGGCCAGGUAUAUUUUGGGUACUCUGAAAUCUAAGAUAAUGCUUCCAAGUAAUAAGAGGGGGGCUUAUAUUUAGAUGUAAAGAAUUGGAUAUUGCUUGUUUUAAUCAAUCAAGACUUUAAUGGUGAUGUCAAAUUAAAUUAUCACCAGUAUAUUUUACCAGGUAACAGGUAAAUGUAAUGAUUGAGAUUGCACUUGCACUUUCUAAAGUGCUAUAUAAAUACAAGACAUUAGCUGUUUUCUGUGUGAAUAAAACUUUCUGUGAGAUAGGCAUUGUCUCCAGAAAAUUCUCGUGUUCCUGACAUCCACUAUGACAAAGGUAAUAUAAAUAGUUAUAGAAACUGAGGGUUUAAAUACUUGUUGAAUGAAUGAAUGAAUAUCAGUUACUUACUAUGUGGACUCACUAUUAUAGGCACUAAAGAGAUACAAAGAUUUAUCAUUUCAAUGUGCUUACAGCUGAGAAUAAGCCGAUACAUGUGUCAGCAUUUUGGGAACUCUAAAGCAUCAUAUAAGUGUAACUACUGAUUUUCUGAUUUGGUGCUGAGUACUGGGCUUAUAAAAUUAUAUCACACUUAUUAUACUAUGAAAAAAGUUGGAAAAAUCUGAGGAAGAGUUCUUAACUAUUAAACACUCUGAAUAUAAUAUGCAAAGGAUUAAAUAUCUGGUAAAUGCAAAACUGGUUAAUAAUUGUCUAUUACGUGCCAGUCUCCUUGCUAGGCAUUAGGGAUGUGAAGAUAAACCAUCUUUAUUGUGUCCUGGGUAGCAGCAGAUAAUGUGUAAAAUCAAUUUAUAAGUCUUAAAUUGCCAUAUAUGUAUAAGCAAUAUCUGCUGAAUUAACAUUGAUUAUUUACUCUGUCUUAUCUGUGGAGACAACAAACGGGGAUGCAGAAAUUAUCAUUAUUAUUGAACUUACAACAGAGAUCUGUGUAAAUUUACAAGCCUGCUGUUCUAUACAGAUAUAAGGAAAUAACUUGGCUUAAUGAAUGAUUACUUUCUAUGAGGCUUAGAACUAUGCCAUGCCUAAGGAUAUAAAAAUGAUUUUAUUCUUAUGAGGUGUUCAUAGGAAGAAAUAAGGAAAUCCAGUGAGAAAUAAGGAAAUAAGUGAGAUCCAGACUAAAAGUUAAGCACUACUAAGCUUAUUUAAUAAAAACAUGGGAAAAAUGGAAUUGUGCCAGGAAGUAUGCUAAAUGCUGAACGCUGUGGAAAGAUAAUAUCUGAAUCAGAGGGUGUCCUUGCUCUCUAGCUAGACUGAAGAGAUGGGAAAUGUUUUUAAAAAAGAUGUUAUAGUUCUCUAUCAGUCUUUAAAAUGUUGAAUGCUGAAGGUGGAGGUGAAUGAGGUCCACCCUGCCUGGCUUAAAAUUAAAUGGCUCAGGUUUCAUUUUAGAUUCAUAUGAUAAACCUAGAGCAUUUUUAUGUGGAAUACAUCAUUCUAGGUCCUAAGAGAAGUGAAAUGGCUAAGUCAAAAGGGCAUCAGAAUACAGAUUAUAGAUGAAGAUAAGAAAACAUCAUUGAUUUUUAAGUAGAUAUUUGAGUGCCUGUUUUCUGGACAGUAUUAUGCUAGAUAAAUUAGUUGAGUUGGCCUGGUCCAGAAAACCUAUCGACAUGCCUUAGAGAUUAAAAAAAAAAAAAUAGAAAAAUAAGGCAUGAUUCUUUUAAUGUUAAAUGAAGACUUUUUUCCUAAUUCUUUCUAAUUUUCACUUGCUCAUUGACCUAGUUUGAAGCCAGAAGACUGAUAAUAAGGGAGCUUAGGGUUUGUCCUUUAAUUCAUUACUUUAACAUUCUGUUUUGAUUACAGAUGGAUGGUUUAAGAUGAGAAUUAAGAUAAAACAACUGGUUUUAAAAAUAUUUGCUUAUUGGCCUAGCAUAGAGUCAGGAAGCCACUUGAACAGUAAAGAUUUUUUUCUAGAUUUUCUGUAUUUUGUAAAAAUUUAUUUACCCUGUAUAAUGUUCUCAAAUGCAGAGAAUGAAGAGACUUAAAGGACCUAUACCAAAAUGUACUUUAAUCUCACUAGUUUAUGGUGGAAACAUAGGAACUAUUUAAUAAGAGACUGCAGUUCUUUCAGUUUAUUGAGCAGCUGUGAUAGUAAGACACUGAGAACAAAUGAUCACCUUCUCUUUGGCAUGUUUUAUAGAGUGGGAAUAAGAGAGAACUUUUCAUUUAUACAAACUUUGAGGAAGGUGAUGUUAAAUUGGAACAGAUCUGGUAAGAAAGGCACUUAUUUUGUCUUGGAGAUGCAAUAGGACAAAACAAAAACAAACAAAACAAAACAAAAAGGAAUGAAAUUCUUCUUUAAAUGGAAGUGUCUAUUUCAAGGCAUUGUGUUAAUUGCUAGACAGAAAACAAAAAAGAUCUUGACUGAAAGAUACUUUUUAGUUAGCUUUGAGACUAGAAUAUAAGAGAUUACUGUUCAUUUCUUCAUUUAUUCAUUCUACAAGUACAUUUGAAUGCCUAUUAUGUAUAAAGCUCUUUGCUAUGUUCCCAGAUAGCCCGAGAGACAUGAAAAAAACAAAAACAAAAACAAAAAAUAAAUGCUUUCCUAGAGAACUUUUAAAGCUUUUCUUUUGGCCUGUUUUCUGGUUAAGGGCAUGGCAUAGUCCGUAAAUAAUGUUGUGGGUUUUAAUUGCUGUUCCAUGUUUCUUCUACCACUCUGGCCACUACAAUAAGCAGGGUUUUCUAUUGAGCUUGCUCUUUAAGUUGCAGGAACUUUCUUUAUAAUAGGCACUUUAUUUUUCCUGGCCCAUCCCUAAUGAAAAAUGACUGUGACCGCUGCUGGACAGAAGGAGGGAUGACAAACAACUAAUUCCCAAAUUCCAGUUUCAUUGGUACCAGCAUUGGGGAAACAUACUCUAGCCACAAUUGGUUUUAAAAUGCACUUACCAGUUUUGUCUGUUUUUAAUUGUUUACAUUUUUACAUUCUGACAAAUAUGUGCUGCCUAAAUAGAUGUCUUUGAAAUACAUAACAUAAUUGGAGAUGGAGACAUGAUUUCUCUUUUGCAAUAGUAUCUCAACUUAACCUUUAGAAAUGUCACCAUCAAAACAUGUUCAAGAAAGGACUUCUUAAUAGUGGAAUAAUAUCAGUUAAUUAAAAUAGCUUAACAAUUUUACCAUGUUUAAAAUUUCAGAAUAAUAGAAAUUGGAAGUAAUUGGCAAAAAUUGGAGGGUAUCAACAACAAUCCUCAAUCUAGGCCCAACUGGGUUUUGACCUUUUCUAUUUUUAAAUCACUCACAGAGGGUGGGAUAGGAGGAAGAGUGAAAGAAAAGGUCAAACCAGUUUCUAAGGGCAGCCUGCCUGUGUUUGGUAUUGGUUUUAAGAACAUUACUACCUCCAAGUCUAACUAGGGGAUUGCUUUUUUUAGUUUAAUGCAAUUCCGAUCAGUAGUCCUUAUUGAGAUGAAGACAUGGUACUUUGUCUCCCACUAAUUUCUGUAAGUCUUUGAGAAACAAUUUUGAGCUAGUUAUCAACUAAACCUUGAGUUAGAUAAUUAUGGGAUUUGUUAAUUAAAUCAAUGUAACCUCCAUCAGAAGGUAGUUUUAAAGUCAACGUUCACUGCAAAAGAGGAGGACUUUAUUGUUACAGUAAUUUAUAUAACUUUUAGUUUACAUCUGUAAAUGAAGAAGGAAAUAGGUGAAUGGCAAAAGAUAAUUGGUGGAGGGAACAAAGUUGAAGACAAAUUGGGUGUGAUGUUUCUAGUUUUCACUUUGUACAUUUUUAUUUAGGCAUCAGAUAUAUCUGAAAUACUAUUUGGCCUUCAAUACUGUGGUAUCAGAUGGAUUCUGUAACACCCCUAUUUUCAAGUUGGGGUCGGGGAGUACGUUAUUGGAAAUUAGACAGGAGAAAGUAACUAAAAGCCUUCCUUUCACAGUUCCUGACAUCCUAAGACUACUGCUAUUGAUAAGAAUAAGAAUAUACUAUCAUCUGAAUUUUUCUGGCAUAAAUGAAAUUAUGAACAAAUACAUUUUUAAAGGAAAUGGCUUCAUCUCUACCCUUCUGCCUAAAAGGGAAUCUAUGCCAAAUGUUCCAAUAAAUGGGAAGAUACACUUUGACUUGUGAACUGAUGUGAAAAUGCAGAAUCUUUGAUUUUUGAGUGUUUUGAAGAUUGAUAAAUCUUUCUCAGCAUGGGUGACCACCAAAAGCAAUCUAAAGCUAUCGACAUGUCACAACUGAGACAAAUUGGGGAAUGUGUUGUCUAAUGUGAAAUAAAAUGUACUGUUUUGAAAA